rnacentral:rRNA from 1 species
GACGAACGCUGGCGGCGUGCUUAACACAUGCAAGUCGAGCGGAAAGGCCCUUCGGUGUACUCGUGCGCCAAAGGGGUGAGUGACACGUGAGUAACCUGCACCAGACCUUGGGAUAACCCUCGGAUACGGGGACUAAUGCCGGAUACGACACGGCUCCGCUUGGGCAUGGUGUGGAAUGGUUUGCGGUUGGGGAUGGGCUCGCGGCCUAUCAGCUUGUUGGUGGGGUGGUGGCUUACCAAGGCUACGACGGGUAGCCGGCCUGAGAGGGCGACCGGCCACACUGGGACUGAGACACGGCCCAGACUCCUACGGGAGGCAGCAGUGGGGAAUAUUGCACAAUGGGCGGAAGCCUGAUGCAGCAACGCCGCGUGAGGGAUGACGGCCUUCGGGUUGUAAACCGCUUUCGGCAGGGACGAAGCGUGAGUGACGGUAAUUGGUAAAGAAGCGCCGGCCAACUACGUG